UGGUCUCUAUCUCCUGACCUUGUGAUCCACCCACCUCAGCCUCCCAAAGUGCUGGGAUUGCAGGUGGGAGCCACCGGGUCCAGCCUCUCCGGCGAUUUUCAUACCUGCAUACUCUGAUCACUACUCUGUUAAACAGUCAAGGAGGCUGAGUGCCACGUGCUGACGUCACUAAGAUCAAUACAGCAAACUCUGAAAGAUGGACAGAGAGACAGGAGAUGGUCCUUUAUAAUGCAGUGUGAUCUGUGCUGCAAUAGAGUUUUGGAAGCUAGAAGUUCAAAACGAGGUGUUGGCAGCACCAUGCUCUCUCUGAAGAUGCUAGGAAGAAUCUGCUCCAUGCCUUUCCAUUCGCUCCUGGGGUUUCCUGCAAGCCCUGACAUUCCUUGGCUUGUAGAUACACCACCCCAGUUUCCGCCCCCAUCAUCACAUGGCCUCCUCUCUGUGGGUGCCUCUGCGUUCCCUCUAUUCUUCUUCUAAGGACACCGACACCAGUCAUAGUGGAUUAAGGGUCCACUCCUAACUAAUUACAUCUGCAACCACCCUAUUUCCAAAUAAAGUCACAUUCUAAGAUUCCUAGGGAGAACAUGAAGUUUUGGGGGUGUGUGGAUACUGUUCAACCUGGGACAUGGAGUAAAUAAAUGGCAAGAAAGAUUACAGAUGACUUUAAGCUAAAGAGGGAGAUAGGGUUAAAUGUAGGACUUUUUUUUUUUUCCAGGACGGGAGAGGUUUAAACAUGUUACUACAUUGAAUAAAUGAA
rnacentral:lncRNA from 1 species